GAAAUGGCAAUGAAAUCAAUAAACAACCACAGCUGCUGGAAACAAAAUAAAAAUAAAUAAAUAAAUAAGAAUAGGCCAUUCACUAAAAGUUUGAAUUUUAAUGAAAAAAUAUGUUCCCAAACGUUAUCUAUGGUUCAAAUGGUGCCGAAUUUCUUACAUAUAAGGAAGUAAGUCGUACGUAUAGUUGAAUAGAAAUGCAAAAUAGGAAUCGCCACGAUCUACGAUGUCUCCAAAGAGCAUGUGCUCCUUGACUCCGUAUACGACUGCGAUUAUUGUCAAAGUACAGAGCCGCAACAAAAGCCUCAAGUCGCUAGCCG